rnacentral:tRNA from 1 species
UUGUUGACCAGGACGUCGAUGGGUCCCGCCGCCUCAAGCGCGGCCGUGAUGCUCGCGGGCUUGGUCACGUCGAGUUCGACGAC